GCAGGGGGCGAAGCGCGCGUUGGCGCUGCGGGGGUCGCGCCGCGCGGUCCCCUCCCCUCCUCCGCCCCGCGAUGCUGCUCCUGGCUUAAAAAUCGCUCUCCCGGCGCAACUCUGCCGGGGCCGGUUUCACUUCUGUCGCCGUUGCCGCUGUCAAAAACGCUGCGACUUCAGCAGUAACAGCGCUGCCUCCCCCUCGCCCGCCCCGCCGCCGGGUCAUUUACCCCGCUCCGCAUGAGAAAUUAAACGCUGAUAAUCCAUUAGCUUCAUGUUCCCCGCUUACGCGGGAGUGAUGAGGACUUGCUAAUUAAUUUACACAGGAGGAAAUUAUCUCAGAAGGAAGGAAGAAUACCCCUUUGCACCUGCUCCGUCGAGGCUUGUCGUCUGAAUCGGGAGGAGAGCUAUAAAUCAUGUGAAGUGUGCGCGGCGGAGCCGGCUGCCCAGAGCGGCAGGAUUAUGUACCCCGACGCCGAGUUUGUGUUUCCCCCUAGGAAAAGGCAGAAACUCAGGGAGAAGGGGAGAAGGAUGAAGGACGCAUUUCUUAAAAGGGACCAUGGUCUUUUCUAUUCUCACUGGGCCAGGGUUGGGGCUGUGCAAACACUGAAGGCUUCUGACCGCAAGCGUUUAAAAUCUAAGCAUAAAUGAAGAGACAACUGAGGGAUAUAAACCAAAAAGGUAAUAUGAGGAAACAAUAAAAUGCUAGAAAAUAGUCA
rnacentral:lncRNA from 1 species